rnacentral:rRNA from 1 species
AUGCCCUACCGUGGCGACUUCGGCGAGGGCGACCCGGUGUUUGCCAUGUACAUCUACCUCCCCUACGACCGCGACGGCCUGCCCUCGCUCGCGCGAACGCUCAGCGCUAACCCCGACGCGCUCCUGCACAGGUCGGUCAUGCCAGAGCAGCCCGUCCCGUUGGGCGAGCUCAAGAUCCCCAAGUUCGAGGUGUCGGUGAGGGUGGAGGCGUCGCGGAUGCUGCGUAACCUGGGGCUGGAGCUGCCGUUCCGUCGCUCCGGCGACUCGUUCUCGGAGAUGCUGAGCCCGCCGGCGCCUCCGGUGGCCGUCUCGUCCGUGGUCCACGAGUGCGUCGUCAAAGUCGAUGAGUGCGGGACCGUGGCCACCGCAGGCACCGUGGCGAUGUCGGCGGGGUUUGGCAUGGUACGUGAUCGCCCUGUGGACUUCGUGGCAGAUCACCCCUUCGCCUUCUUCCUCAUGGAGGAUAUAUAUCAGUGGCGUGGUGGUAUUCGCAGGCCAUGUCGUCAACCCUUUGGGCCACUGAUGGAUGUAUUACCAGCUCUGCUCCUACUAGCGCCAUUCACAAACAGUAAAUCAUCUAGCAAAUUCAGUUUACCCAUCCAUCUAUCUAUGCAAUAUCCAUCAAUCCAUCUAACAAACAGCAGCCGGCGGCAGGGAGGCAGAGGAAACAGAUCGAGACAAGGGAAGAGAGGAGACAGAGAGAGCUCACCGGCAUCGCCUCUCUCAUGGACUUGCUCCGGCAUGUCCAAGGCGUACGUCUAG